rnacentral:lncRNA from 1 species
CAGGUUGGAGUGCGGUGGUGUGAUCUUGGCUCCCUGCAACCUCCACCUCCCAGGUUCAAGCGAUUCUCCUGCCUCAGCCUCCCAAGUAGCUGCGAUUACAGGCACCCACCACCAUGAAGAAUGGCAUUUUUAAAAGAUGGCUUUCUUAAAAAAGGAUACUCAGUUGCUCUUCUACUCAUACCAAGUCCUGCAGACACAUUCUGGGACUGCACCUUAUGAGUGCUGCUCACUCUGUUUCCUGCAGAAGACAUACAGAGCCGUUCGCAUAGAGUAGGGCCAUGAUUUUGAUUCAGCAAUUCUUCAAACCACUGAUGCUGGUUGACCAUUUGACUUUGUUUUUGAAGUAUUUUUUACAUACAGUGUACAGAACAUUUCCGCUGGAUAUUUGGAUACUGAACAGGAGUAACAAGAGGAACAGCUCCUACCUCCCCCCUGCCCCUUCCCUCACAAGCCUGUGAGUCAGGGCAGGGGCAGCCACUGAAAGUAGCAGAGGCCUUCAUAAAGGAGAACACUUCUCCAUGUUGCCAUCAUGUGAAGAAGGACAUGUUUGCUUCUGCUUCUGCCACGAGUGUUGAAGGCAAUGGUGAUGAAAGUAAAUAUUUAAAAACACUACCAUAGCUGUCCCAAAUUUCAGAAAAACAAGGUACCACUGGAACCAUUUAAUUUUGUUGGAACACAGAAUGACCAUCUUGUGAUCAGUUUUCUGCAUCUUUAAAAUACCUGGAAGGUCAUCUUUAAAUAGUACAAUCUGAUAAAAGUUUAAUACUUAGUGUAGACUUAUAUGAAUACUUCUACAUUCAUACAUUUUUGUAUACUUAUACAUUUUCAUACUCAAUUAAUGCUUAAUUCAAAAAAUAUCUGAGUACCUGCAGUGUUCCCCAUGCUACAUACUGGGCUUAAACAGCCAAAAAGACACAGUCUUUGACCUCAAAAUACUUUGAUUCUUGUAAGAAAAACUGACAAAGACAAAGAGAAGGCAAUGUGAAAACUUCUACAGUUGGGAUAACCUUGGAGGUUACAGGAUGUGGACUCACUGAAAGCUUUCUGCUGGACUUGAACUUGAAGCUGAAGUCUGAAGGACAGAUGGGUGUUGCUUAGCGAAGGGAAAGUAGGAAGCAAAGACCCCUGGACAGAGUGUAGCAGGCACAGAGGGAGCAUGACACCUUCGGGAGAGAGCCGCAAGCACCUGGGCCCAGAUCCCAGCUUUAGCUUCAUUAGCCCUGUGAACUCUGUAUGUCAGCCUUGACAUAGAAAAAAAGAGGAUACUAAACCUCCAUCUUAAAAGAGACUUGGAAGAAGCUGGGAUUAUAGGCACACCACCACACCUGGCCCCAGAAAAGGGAAUCCUUGACCUGCAAGAAUCGAGGAAUAUUGUUUCUGACAUGCUCAGUGGACCUACUGCUGGUGUUCUUAACCAUUUCCUUCCUAAGUGGAACUUCUUUUGAGCCUCAGAUGAAAACAACCAGUUGAGCUCCAAGUUUUCUUUCUGUGGGAGAACUUUCCUUAAAAGACAAUUAGAAAGCAAGGAAUGCGAAGAAAGAAAAUGGGAAGUUUCCUGCCUCCAAAUUAUGCUGUUGGUUCUGGCCUAAAGGAAUGUUUUCAAGGGAAGCCUGUCUGCCUUUCAUUGCCAUUUCACCUUGAUUUAAUCAUUCAGCAAAGCAUUUAUUAAUCAUCUUCUGUGUGAAAAGUACUUACCUUAGAACCACUGCAUCCUGGUACACCGACAAGUCCGUAAGGCCCGGUAUUGCCUGGGGUGCCCUGGAAGAAGAACAAGUCUCAAUGAGGAGGGUCAUCCCAAGAAACAGCACUGAACCCAAGGGAAAAGAUGCACUGAUUUAAAUAGCUCUUGAAAUAUAAAUGAUUGUUUAAAUGGUUAAGUAGUAAAUGUACAUUGUGGUUUUACAUAUAAUUUCAGUAGCAACAAACUAAACAGGCUGACUG